GGUUAGCUCAGUUGGUAGAGCACUCUACUGGAGAUGGAGAGGUCCCUGGUUUACUACCAGGACC
rnacentral:tRNA from 1 species